AGUUGACCAUCGAGCGGGAGCCACCGUGGGCCUCCCCCUCCCUCUCCUUCCCGCUCUUAUUGGCCAGGAGUGUCCAAUCAGAAGGCUACAUCGCCAGCCGAGCCUACAAGGUCCCCAACGGUGGCUACCCCGUGACGUGCCGCGUCCACAACACUGGUUCUCAGACCAGUGUCCUCAAGAAUUUGACCAAGGAUGCUUGUAGGUCACAGCCGGAAACACUCGAGGUGGUCCUGGUGGAACCCCGAUGUGAAGAUGGUGGGGAUGAGGUGGAUCUGGAGCUUCUCUGCAUCUUCUGGAGCUCCGCGGUGGAGAAGAUCGAAGUGUCCUGGCUGCUGAACGGGGAGGAGAUGCCACCUCCCACCUCCACCAGUGAGGUGGAGGGUGGGAGGAGCUCGUUGAAAAUCAAGAGGUCCAGCUGGGACAAAGGGGACCUCUACACCUGCAAGGUGACCACGUCGGGGGGAAGGAACGUGGUGAUGAGGAACACCAGCAAGUGCACGGCCUGUUGGGGGGCCACCACGACCCCCAACCUCUUCAUCACUCAACCCUCCUACGCCGACCUCCUGGCCGGCCAGGCCGUGGCCACCUGCCUUCUCCUGGGGUGGCACCUCCGGGGGGCCACCCUCUCCUGGGAGGGGGACACCCUGGGGACCCCGGGACUCACCCCUCACCCCAACGGCACCCAAGGUCUUCUCCUGACCCGCCCCGUCUCCCUCAGCCAGUGGGUGGCCGGUGACACCCUCAG